rnacentral:misc_RNA from 1 species
CGGUAUCAAACACCAUACACUUUCUAAAUUAUCGAUAGAUUUAUUGUUUCAGAUGGAGGAGGAGAAACACCACCACCACCACCACCUGUUCCACCACAAGGACAAGGCGGAGGAGGGCCCCGUCGACUACGAAAAAGAAAUCAAACACCAUAAACAUCUCGAGCAAAUCGGUAAACUUGGCACUGUUGCUGCCGGUGCCUACGCCUUGGUACGUUGAUAUAAUCUUACCUUAUAUAUAUAAACGUUAUUAUCGAUUAUUUAUACAAAUCAUUUUCUUUUAUUCAAAUUACGAUCAAAAUCAUUUAAGAGUUUUUCUACCGGUCACAUCCGAUUAGUCAAGAUUUUCAUCGGAGAGUUUGAAUAUAUUGAUUCCUAAUAAAAUGAUUUUAUUUCCUCGAUUCAUGCCAAAAAUCUAUAAUUAAGGACGGAAGAGUAGCCAAUUAUUUAUUUAAUAUAAUUUAAUUCCUUUUUUCCUUUUAAAUUUUUAGUUUAAUUUCAUAAUAUAUGUAAGGAAGGGGUGUGAAAAAUUUAAAGAAGAUAAACAGAGAAGGGAUGGUUUUAUUUGCGAGUAAAAGAGUUUAUUUUCUAUCUAAACACGUUUACACUAAUUUCACAUUAAGUUCACCUAAUUAUAGUAACUCUCUAUCAUCUAUACAAAAAUAGUGUAAUAAUAAAAAUUGUUCUACAACUUCUAACUCUUCAAUUAAAAAAAAAAACAACAAUGUUGAAAUUACUCAGUACUUCAUUCGUUUCAAAAUAAGUGUUGUUGUUUGUACGACAUGAUCACAACUGAUGAAAGUAUGUCACAUGAAUUAGAACAGAGUCUCUCUUAUUAAUUACUUUUUCCCUCUUUUGUUGGUGAUAAUAAACAUAAAACAAAAUUAGCAUGAGAAACAUGAGGCAAAGA